UCCAUUUCAUUUUCAUCUCUCCCCCUCCACGCUCCCCCCCUGCUCCCCGAACCAAAAUCAUUUCACAUGCAUGUCAAUUUCAAUUCCGAGACGUUACUCUCUCUCUCUCUCGCUGUAUAUCUAUACGCCAUCUCUCUCUCACCUCGGCCGCUCUCCUCGUCCGUAUCCAUCGUUGUCGAGUGAAUUUGGAGAAUGGGGUUGGGCCUUUGCUUCCGAUUUUCGUCGCGAUCUCCUCGGAUUUAUCUCACUACAACUCCAUAAACUGGCCCUUUUUCUUUCUCUCUCUACUGAUCUGUGAACGCCGAACUAUCUCUCUCUCUCUAGAGAGCUGAAUGUACUUCGGGCCUGUCUUCUUAGUCGGUGAGUUUCUGCUCUUCUUCUUUAGCUCUUCUAGUUGUGUUUGUAGCUUUUGAUGCAUAUUCGUGCUGCGAUUGUUUGAUUUCUGCUUGUUGCUUUGAACUCGAUAAAUUUGUGCAUUUCGUUUGUAAUGUGAUUGUUCAAGAUUUGUUUUUGAUGUUGAUAUGUCACAGUGAAAAAUACCAAAAAAAUUAUUAAAAAAAUAAAAACCGGGCCAACCCGGAAAGUCGGGUCGAUCAGACUAUUGGCCGCGGAAGACCUCUAUCUUCCAUGGAGGACGGCCGCCGGAGACUGCAAAUGUCUCCUGCGAAAGCCAUCCUCGCCACCCAGAGAUCCAUGCGAUUGCGAGGUUGGUCUCCCGUGCCCGAAAACCUACGUUGAGGAGCCAUCCCCCCCCUCUCCCCCAGAUGGUAAAACCAACAGAAAGGUGGUUUGUGCUAAUGCCUUCUUACGAUUUUGUGACCCUUGUCAAUGGCAUUGGGAUUUUGACCGUAAGAAACAUGCUAUCAAAUACUGUUGUUCCACGGCUCUUCGGUCUGAUUUCGAGUCCGAAAUUCAGCGUCUUUAGGUCCUGUCUACCUUUGAGAUGUCAUGCUGGAAGAGAAUAUUGCCUUUGUGGGUUGGGGUGUCUUGUUGAGCAAUUUAGCCAGCCCUUCUGGGAUUUCUCAUGAUGUAUCUAUGGUUAGGUCUCCCCAUGAUGUUGGUGCCAUCUUUUAGAGGAUGAGUUGAGGGAGGGGUCUUAGUCACACUCAUCCGCCCCCCAUAGGUAGCUAGUUUCUCUCAAGAGAGUAUUUUUUAGUUCUUUGCUUGUGUUGUAGUUUCUUUGUUUUUGUUUUCUGGCUAGUUCUUGUGUAUUUUUUGUAACAUGGGUUGAUUCACAAAUGCCACUAAGAGGAAGAAGAUGGUGCUUGAUGGCUUGAGCAGGCCUCUUCGAGUUGGAGGUGAGGGUCUUAGUAAGAGACCCCAACCCUCACGAGAGGUGGAUGCUACAAUGUCUGUUUUUGAGGUGCUCUCUCAAGAGAUUCGACCCUUGAUCUCUUCUCUCUUGAUGUUUGACUUACCACAUACUCCUUCAGCAGCUUAGGCAAGGGGGCCUUGGGCUUCCUAAUGCCUUCUAUUGCUAAACUUCAUUGCCAACCUAGUUGCCAACACUCUCAAGAUGCUGCAGUUACUUGAGGCCGAUCCUUCUAGUUCAUUUUGUUAGCGUCCUUACAAGACUCAUGCCUGGUGUAAUAGGUCCCUCACCUUUUCGCAAGGAUUGUGCCGAGUUUGGGACAGUUGCUCUCGUCCACUUGUCUUUUCAAAAGUUCAACCAUUACAGUCGCCUAUUUGAAUGGAGGAUGGUUGUCGCUUGAGAGGUAGUCACUUCCAAGUGAGGCUUGCUGUGGUCGAUUUUGAUUCGUUGAAAGCGUUUGAGAUAGGCGUUCAUUUCAUUUACUCUACCAUCCUUUCGUGAGACGAGAGGGGGACAUGUUCAGUGGAAAUUUCUUGGACUUUUUGGACAGAGCAUGAGCUUAUCAGUUGUGUGCAACACUUGGUGGCUAAUGCAUGUAGUUGUGCCCACCAUCAUUUUAUGGAAGAUCAGAUCUCAAUGCAAAUGAGGGAUGGGAUGUGCAAUCUCAACGCUCGGACCAAUCUGCCCAUGGGGCUAAGGAGUGCUAGUCUUUUGAUAAACUCAUAAUUUUAUAUUUUUAUUUUUCUUACAUUUAGUCUAUUUAACAUGUUUUAUGUCUUAUGGUGCUCAUUUUUGAUGAUCUUUUAUGUAUAAGACAUUAGGGGCAAAGUUUUUAAGGGGCAAAGUUUUAGUAAUCUAUGUCUAAAAUUCAGAAAAUUCCAGCAUUUUUAAUAAUGACAAAAAUUUUUAGCUUUUGGCAUGUUUUUGUCAUGGAAGCAAUUCUAGGAUGAAAAAGUGAUCUUUAGAAUACUUGAAGUAGACAUUCUAAGCUUUCCAAAAUGGUAUUACGGACCAAAAUCCAACUUCGUUCGGGUUUUCAAACGUUACAUUCAAGUCAGUUCAAUAAAUCAAAACCAAAUAAUAGGAUUCAUGUUCAACCUCUGGAGCCUAAAAAGUGCGUAUCUAAGGCUUCUGAUAUCCAAUUGAGGUGAUUCAAAAUCCCAAAUUUAUCUACACAUCUUAAGCUACAAUUAUUAUGAAGAGAUCAAAGUCAAGAAAGAUAAUUUUCCUACCCAAAAAUGGUCUGGAUCUAGGUUGGAAUUUAGGAGCACUAAAUUGAAUUAUUUCUGCAUGGCUUACAUAAAGACUUGUUCCAACUGUUAGAAGGAGUCGAUUAUUGACUUGGAAGGCAGCUGAAAACAUGUGCCCAACUGGAAUUCUAUUUUUUUAGUUAAGGGAAGACUUUGAAAGAGAGGGAGGCGUGUGUUGGUUGUUUUCCUAAGUGGGUGUAGUUGCUUGCCUAAAUUAUAGGAGUUGAUAGUGGGUAGCUCUUGCACGUUCCUUUUUGGCCUAUAUUUAUAACUCUUAUGUCAUGAGGUGAAAAAAAAAAAAAAAAAAGAUAGUUUUAGAUUUUUGUGCAUUUCGUU